AGUGAACGCUGGCGGUAGGCCUAACACAUGCAAGUCGAACGGCAGCACAGUAAGAGCUUGCUCUUACGGGUGGCGAGUGGCGGACGGGUGAGGAAUACAUCGGAAUCUACUUUUUCGUGGGGGAUAACGUAGGGAAACUUACGCUAAUACCGCAUACGACCUACGGGUGAAAGCAGGGGAUCUUCGGACCUUGCGCGAUUGAAUGAGCCGAUGUCGGAUUAGCUAGUUGGCGGGGUAAAGGCCCACCAAGGCGACGAUCCGUAGCUGGUCUGAGAGGAUGAUCAGCCACACUGGAACUGAGAAACGGUCCAGACUCCUACGGGAGGCAGCAGUGGGGAAUAUUGGACAAUGGGCGCAAGCCUGAUCCAGCCAUACCGCGUGGGUGAAGAAGGCCUUCGGGUUGUAAAGCCCUUUUGUUGGGAAAGAAAAGCAGCAGGUUAAUACCCCGCUGUCCUGACGGUACCCAAAGAAUAAGCACCGGCUAACUUCGUG
rnacentral:rRNA from 1 species